GUUUGCCAUGCAGCAUGCAUGUAAAUAAUUAAAUGCUAAUUAACCACACAACCCGUGGAUUUUGUAUGUGUCUGUCAACCUUAUUGCAUUCCCAACAACACACUGACGUUCUGGCAUUUUAGAAUCUACAAAAUCAAAGAGAAUGGGAAAUCUAAUGAGAAUGGUCUCUGCUCCUAUUACUAAAUGAGCUGGAAACUCCUGCAUCCACCUUUAUUUCAUUGCACCUCUGUCCUAUCACAUUCUAGCUGCAUGUCCUCCAUUUACCCAAGGAAUUUGGCCAACGAGCAGGUGUAACCCUGGAGCUACUGUCACCUUCUAGGAUGUGAGGUGAAGAUCCAACUGACACAAUCUGUCAAUGUGCAGGAAUGCAAUAGACAAACUGCAAACAAUUCACUGGAACAGAAAACUCACUGGAACAGAAUGGUUUUGUGCAUUGGUGCUUUUUGCCGAAGUGACUGGAGUGACCGGAGCUUUAAUGAUUGCAUGACUGCAACUGCACUUGUGUUUCGUAAAUGAGUCCUCAUAUAUCUUGCUUUCAUUCAAAAAAGGGACAUGUUUUUAUAAAUAUAUUUGUCAUAGGCCUAGAAGUACCAAGUCUCUAUGCCCAUUAUUACCAAUCUGAAUUUAAGGAUGUGAAUAGUUGUACAUUUAAGAAAACAAUCCACUUAAAGCCAAUAUUGCGAGUAAAUGUGUCUGGUUAGCGGCAUAAUAGUAGAGCCAAGUGUUUCCAUAUGAAAGAGAAAAAACUUUCAGCACUAACGUUCAGCCCAUGUAAAUCCCUUUAAAUACAGCUUACAAAACUUAGAGUAGUAGUAGAACACGGUAGGCAGUGUAGGACACGUUAAAUGAGAGGCCUGGACAUGGCACGCAAGCUUACAUAUUUUGGCCAAAAUGUGGCACUGACACUUGAAAUUUUGUAACAUAUUUAAAGGGAUUUACAUAGGCUGAUUUUGAGUGCUGGAAGCUUUUUCCUCUUUUGUAUGUCCAAAUAAUGGCUGUAUAUCAUUUAUAGCAGAUUGUCAACCCCAGAGUGUAAGUUAGUCCGAGCGCUGUAAAAAAUAGCUGUCGAUCAACUCUACAGCGUGGGACAGAACGCUCCCAAUUUUUGUUUUACUGUUUUACAGUUUCUAUAUACAGUAAGCCUUCAAAACAAAAAUAGUUUUAUAAUGAUGGCCAAAAAAGACUUUACCCUGGGACCAGUAACACGUCUCUGAUCAUCACCAUUUUAGUAAAGUAAUAGCAGAAACUUAGAUCUGCCAAGGAUGUCCAAAGGAAAGCUAUUCCAACCCUAAACAUUAUAAUAUCUAGAAAAUCUUAUACAUUUAUGAGAAAGUAUGUGCAUAAUUUUAAAAUGCUGAUGGUUGAAAUAUUAUUUCUCUCUAUUUUCUGCUGCAAGGGAGGGCAACAUCUGUUUUGCAAGCAUUUAUGUAACCUUGACAGAUUGAAGAAAUAUGACUUCAUGAGGUCAGCCUUUACAUUUGCUGAGCCACUUACUGACCCAUCUCUGCUGCUCUAGGGCACAGCAGGAAAAUGUAAAUCAAAAUGUUUCAAAGCCUGGGGCCACCUAAUGGUUGAAUUAUCCAGAUUUCUGACUUUCAGAUAUGGCUUUCUACACGUCCACUUUCAUUCUGUGUUACCUUGUUUUUCUUUUCUAAUUUGUUUUUUAUUUACCUUCACUUUGGCAUUAGUCAAAUGUAUUUGAACAUAUUGUGAAUUUUUACAUAAGGAUAUUUCAACUGCUGCAAUUUCAUUUAGUGUUAAUUGUUGGUGAUAUAUAGAUCAUUGUGGCGAGGUUAUAAAUAUUAUGUGUGGGACAUUUUUAUUGAGUUGAAGUCAACAUGUGCUAUAAAGACACAAUUGGCUUCCACUGCAGAGGGCACAGAGUAUUUCCUUCCGGAAGGCUUUUGCAUAACAAUCAAUGCACAUUAUUGAUUUACCCUUAUGGAUAGUGCCAGGAAACAGUGAGUCAUUUACCAAUUAAUAAAAUGUUUACUUCUGCUCAAAGAUGGAAGAGAUUGAGGCAUUCCAGUAAAUUGUUUCUCUAGUAAGAUCAAAAUUUGAAUCAAUAAAGUAGGCGCAGCAAAAGCAUCUUCUAGAAUCUAAUGAGCUAUUAUAGUUAUACUAUACUAGGAUGAAGCAUAUGAAAAACUAUGACAAAAACAAACUCUCUUUAUUCUAAAAAAUAAAAAGGAGGAACCUCUGGAA